UACGUAGGGUGCAAGCGUUGUCCGGAAUUACUGGGCGUAAAGCGUGCGCAGGCGGUUUUGUAAGCCAGAUGUGAAAUCCCCGGGCUUAACCUGGGAAUGGCAUUUGGGACUGCAAGGCUUGAGUGUGGCAGAGGAGACUGGAAUUCCUGGUGUAGCAGUGAAAUGCGUAGAUAUCAGGAGGAACACCGAUGGCGAAGGCAGGUCUCUGGGCUAACACUGACGCUCAUGCACGAAAGCGUGGGGAGCAAACAGG
rnacentral:rRNA from 1 species